rnacentral:misc_RNA from 1 species
GGCGCGACAAGGCCCCAACACCAAGCUACAAGAUGCAGCAACUAAUGAGGUUUCAGGGUGUACAAUAAAUGCAAGACAUGUAGGGUUGAGGCAUUUUUGAAGCUUUGCCAAGUGCAUUUCAUGAAAGAAUUAUAUGCAUGUACUUUCACUUUGGUUCGAGCUGGGAAAACUAAGAUCCUAUUUCCAGAACUCAUAGACAAUGUAGGAUUUUUACAAGUGUUUCCAUGCAUAAAGAUACAGGCAAUAAUAUGGUGUGAACUCUAGCAAAAUUCGAAGGAUGGGCAUACACUAAAAACAGCUUCCGUUCACCAUGAAAACCUGCCGAGCUGUGUUUUCAUGAGUUCUCAGUUUGUUUAUUUCCACAAACAAGGCAUGUAUAGAAGAUAGUUUGCCCUUCAUCAGCAGAUCUAAUCUGUCUGGCUAUGUAUGACAUGCCUAAAUGCUGACAACCUUUACAUUUUGCAUUAUAAUCCAUUUGCUUUAGUUCUUUCUCUUCUUCAAGAUCAUCAAACGAAGAUAUUCCCAAUUCCCUUUUAAUAGCCUCAGCAGAAACGGUAUACUGUAUCUCGUUUCCAGCGAUCUCUUUGACACGUUUCUUGAAUUUGCAUAAGGGACAUCGAGCAUACUUGGGUGAAUCAAAAGCAAGCAUUGUUCCACACAUUUCACAGAACAUAAAAUCUCUCUGUCGACAGUAUGCCAUAUUUGUAACAACUGGCUGAAGAACAAAGAGCAAUUUUCACUUCAGUUGAGGCGUUU